CCAACAUUUGAUCAUUAGUCUUAUUUGAAAUUUUUUUAUGAUUAAUAUUUUUAUUAUUACUAGAUGAUAAAAUGUGAAUAGUACUUUAUACGUGACUAAUUUUUUUAAGUUUUUGUAUAAAUUUUUUAAAUAAGACGAAUGGUCAAAUACGGAAAAACA
rnacentral:pre_miRNA from 1 species